GCAUCGAUGAAGAACGCAGCGAAAUGCGAUAAGUAAUGUGAAUUGCAGAAUUCAGUGAAUCAUCGAAUCUUUGAACGCACAUUGCGCCCGCCAGUAUUCUGGCGGGCAUGCCUGUUCGAGCGUCAUUUCAACCAUCAAGCCCCCGGCUUGUGUUGGGG
rnacentral:rRNA from 1 species